rnacentral:rRNA from 1 species
GAUGAACGCUGGCGGCGUGCCUAAUACAUGCAAGUCGAGCGAACAGACGCGGAGCUUGCUCCUCGGACGUUAGCGGCGGAGGGGUGUGUAACACGUGUAUAACCUACUUAUAAGUGUGGUAUAACUUCGGGACAGCGGAGCUAAUACCGGAGAAUCUAUUGAACCGCAUGGUGCAAUAGUGAGAGACGGUGUUGCUGUCUCUAAUAGAUGCAUCCCGGCCUCAUGAGCUGGUUGGUAAGUUAACGGCUUACCAAGGGAAGGCUGCGUAGCCGACCUCUGGGGCGGAUCGCCCACACUGGAAGUUGGCCGCGCACCAGCGUCCUACGGGAGGCAGCAGUAGGGUAUCUUCCGCAGUGGGCGAAAGCCUGACGCAGCAACGCCGCGUGAGUGAUGACGGUCUCCCGAUCGUAAAGCUCUGUUAUUAGUGAAGAACAAAUGUGUAAGUAACUAUGCACGUCUUGACGGUACCGGAUCAGAAAGCCACGGCUAACUACGUG